CCUACGGGGGGCAGCAGUGAGGAAUAUUGGUCAAUGGGCGCGAGCCUGAACCAGCCAAGUCGCGUGAAGGAUGACUGCCCUACGGGUUGUAAACUUCUUUUAUAAAGGAAUAAAGUGAGGCACGUGUGCCUUUUUGUAUGUACUUUAUGAAUAAGGAUCGGCUAAAUCCGUGCCAGCAGCCGCGGUAAUACGGAGGAUCCGAGCGUUAUCCGGAUUUAUUGGGUUUAACGGGAGCGUAGAUGGGUUGUUAAGUAAGUUGGGAAAGUUUUAGGCUCAACCGUAAAAUUGCAAUUGAUACUGGCAGCCUUGAGUACAGUUGAGGUAGGCGGAAUUCGUGGUGUAGCGGUGAAAUGCUUAGAUAUCACGAAGAACUCCGAUUGCGAAGGCAGCUUACUAAACUGCCACUGACAUUGAUGCUCGAAAGUGUGGGUAUCAAACAGGAUUAGAUACCCUAGUAGUC
rnacentral:rRNA from 1 species